AGCGAACGCUGGCGGCAGGCCUAACACAUGCAAGUCGAGCGGCCGUAGCAAUACGGCAGCGGCAGACGGGAUAGUAACACGUGGGAACGCGCCCUUCGGUUCGGAAUAACUCAGGGAAACUUGAGCUAAUACCGGAUACGCCUUACGGGAAGGAUUAUUGCGAGGAACGGCCCGCGUCGGAUUAGCUAGUUGGUGAGGUAAUGGCUCACCAAGGCGACGAUCCGUAGCUGGUCUGAGAGGAUGACCAGCAUCACUGGGACUGAGACACGGCCCAGACUCCUACGGGAGGCAGCAGUGGGGAAGUAUUGGUACAAUGGGCGCAAGCCUGAUCCAGCCAUGCCGCGUGGAUGAUGAAGGCCCUAGGGUUGUAAAGCUCUUUCAGUAGGGGAAGAUAAUGACGGUACCUACAGAAGAAGCCCCGGCUAACUU
rnacentral:rRNA from 1 species